UUUAAUGAUGAUGUAAUUUGCGCCAGAGAUCUUGCAGAUGGACAAAUGCCUGUUGUCCUCAGCAUCUGCUUGACCACUGUCGAUAAAUAUGUCCUGAAAA